rnacentral:tRNA from 2 species
GCCCUCAUCGUCUAGUGGCCUAGGACGUCGCCCUUUCAAGGCGGUAGCACGGGUUCGAAUCCCGUUGGGGGCACCA